GCGCCUUCCCCGGGGAGCCAGCAGGUCGUUAAUCGGCCAUCGGCUGAGAGUUGUGGGUAUGCUCCACAAGACCCGUCGAACCUGAACCCGUUAGCACGGGCGGAGGGAGUGGACGCCGCCUCCCG
rnacentral:ncRNA from 1 species